UCCUACGGGGCGCAGCAGUAGGGAAUUUUCGGCAAUGGGGGGAACCCUGAUGCAGCGACGCCGCGUGGGUGAAGGAGCGUUUCGGCGCGUAAAGCCCUAUCGGCAGGGAAGAAGGAGGACGGUACCUGACUAAGAAGCCCCGGCUAACUACGUGCCAGCAGCCGCGGUAAUACGUAGGGGGCAAGCGUUAUCCGGAUUUACUGGGUGUAAAGGGGGCGCAGACGGCAGCGCAAGCCAGGAGUGAAAGCCCGGGGCCCAACCCCGGGACUGCUCUUGGAACUGCGCGGCUGGAGUGCAGGAGGGGG
rnacentral:rRNA from 1 species